rnacentral:rRNA from 1 species
GAAAGAUGGUUCUGCUAUCACUCUUGGAUGGACCUGCGGUGCAUUAGCUAGUUGGUAAGGUAACGGCUUACCAAGGCAAUGAUGCAUAGCCGAGUUGAGAGACUGAUCGGCCACAUUGGGACUGAGACACGGCCCAAACUCCUACGGGAGGCAGCAGUAGGGAAUCUUCCACAAUGGACGAAAGUCUGAUGGAGCAACGCCGCGUGAGUGAAGAAGGGUUUCGGCUCGUAAAGCUCUGUUGGUAGUGAAGAAAGAUAGAGGUAGUAACUGGCCUUUAUUUGACGGUAAUUACUUAGAAAGUCACGGCUAACUACGUGCCAGCAGCCGCGGUAAUACGUAGGCGGCAAGCGUUGUCCGGAUUUAUUGGGCGUAAAGCGAGUGCAGGCGGUUCAAUAAGUCUGAUGUGAAAGCCUUCGGCUCAACCGGAGAAUUGCAUCAGAAACUGUUGAACUUGAGUGCAGAAGAGGAGAGUGGAACUCCAUGUGUAGCGGUGGAAUGCGUAGAUAUAUGGAAGAACACCAGUGGCGAAGGCGGCUCUCUGGUCUGCAACUGACGCUGAGGCUCGAAAGCAUGGGUAGCGAACAGGAUUAGAUACCCUGGUAGUCCAUGCCGUAAACGAUGAGUGCUAAGUGUUGGGAGGUUUCCGCCUCUCA